rnacentral:rRNA from 1 species
AGUGAACGCUGGCGGUAGGCCUAACACAUGCAAGUCGAACGGCAGCACAGUAAGAGCUUGCUCUUACGGGUGGCGAGUGGCGGACGGGUGAGGAAUACAUCGGAAUCUACUUUUUCGUGGGGGAUAACGUAGGGAGACUUACGCUAAUACCGCAUACGACCUACGGGUGAAAGCAGGGGAUCUUCGGACCUUGCGCGAUUGAAUGAGCCGAUGUCGGAUUAGCUAGUUGGCGGGGUAAAGGCCCACCAAGGCGACGAUCCGUAGCUGGUCUGAGAGGAUGAUCAGCCACACUGGAACUGAGACACGGUCCAGACUCCUACGGGAGGCAGCAGUGGGAAAUAUUGGACAAUGGGCGCAAGCCUGAUCCAGCCAUACCGCGUGGGUGAAGAAGGCCUUCGGGUUGUAAAGCCCUUUUGUUGGGAAAGAAAAGCAGCAGGUUAAUACCCCGCUGUUCUGACGGUACCCAAAGAAUAAGCACCGGCUAACUUCGUG